rnacentral:tRNA from 1 species
GCACUGGUAGUUCAGUGGUACAGUUCCUGCCUCCCUUGUAGAGGACCUGGGUUCAAUUCCCAGUCAAUGCA